UGGGGAAUCUUGCACAAUGGGCGAAAGCCUGAUGCAGCGACGCCGCGUGCGGGAUGAAGGCCUUCGGGUUGUAAACCGCUUUCAGCAGGGACGAGGCCGCAAGGUGACGGUACCUGCAGAAGAAGCCCCGGCUAACUACGUGCCAGCAGCCGCGGUAAUACGUAGGGGGCAAGCGUUAUCCGGAUUCAUUGGGCGUAAAGCGCGCAUAGGCGGUUUGUUAGGUCAGGAGUUAAAUCUGGGGGCUCAACCCCUAUCCGCUCCUGAUACCGGCAGGCUUGAGUCUGGUAGGGGAAGGCGGAAUUCCAAGUGUAGCGGUGAAAUGCGCAGAUAUUUGGAAGAACACCAGUAGCGAAGGCGGCUUUCUGGACUGCAACUGACACUGAGGCACGAAAGCGUGGGUAGCAAACAGG
rnacentral:rRNA from 1 species